rnacentral:rRNA from 1 species
ACUCCUACGGGAGGCAGCAGUGGGAAGUAUUGCAUCAAUGGCAGGCAAGCCAUGCAUGCAGCCAUGCCGCGUGUAUGAAGAAGGCCUUCGGGUUGUAAAGUACUUUCAGCAGUGAGGAAGGUAGUGUAGUUAAUAGCUGCAUUAUUUGACGUUAGCUGCAGAAGAAGCACCGGCUAACUCCGUGCCAGCAGCCGCGGUAAUACGGAGGGUGCGAGCGUUAAUCGGAAUUACUGGGCGUAAAGCGCAUGCAGGUGGUUUGUUAAGUCAGAUGUGAAAGCCCGGGGCUCAAGCCUCGGAAUAGCAUUUGAAACUGGCAGACUAGAGUACUGUAGAGGGG